rnacentral:rRNA from 1 species
UACGUAGGGGGCAAGUGUUGUCCGGAAUCAUUGGGCGUAAAGAGCGUGUAGGCGGUCCGGUAAGUCCGCUGUGAAAGUCGGGGGCUCAACCCUCGAAUGCCGGUGGAUACUGUCGGGCUAGAGUGCGGAAGAGGCGAGUGGAAUUCCUGGUGUAGCGGUGAAAUGCGCAGAUAUCAGGAGGAACACCGGUGGCGAAGGCGGGUCUCUGGGCCGAUACUGACGUGGAGGAGCG